CCCUUCUGGAGGAAAGAGUGCAAAUUACCAUGACCAUAAGCGCUAACUAGAAUCAGGAGCAAUGGACCUGCACCUAAGCCUUGCCAGAGAAAUUACUUCUUCGUUUCUCUCAGGCUCUCUUUAUAUACUAAAGUGGUCACCCAAGAGAGGAACCACUGAAUGGCCUAACUAAGCCCAGGGAAAGGAACAAACAAACCCAGACAAAAUCAAAUACAAAUACAUUCAUUCAGGGAACAGGAAGUUUAACUGAUGCCAUGGCAACACCAGCAGCCUGUGACAUCAGAGCAGAAGGCGAGGAACAAAGGGAUUUGUGAGCUACCUUUCCAUGGGUCUUCUCUCCCUUGAAAUUUGACUCAUGCUGCUUAUUUGGUACUGUUUCAGAAUACUGCCAUUUAAAACUUCUCUUGGUACUUUUCUCCAGCAUCUUCUUGGAGAUUAGCCAAAACCACAUGCUGGAAAUCUGCUGAGUGCCACGAUCUUAUUAAUAUGCAAUGAGAUCGUAUUUCAGACUGCUUGUAAUAGCGGGCUGCCAAUCAGCUACAGGGUAAGGACAUAAAGUGUAAAACUAAAAAUAUCUGAAAAAAUUAAAGGGGAGACCAAAUAAACUGAAACUUCAUCAUCACUUUAGGUUGGAAAUUUACACAAGAAGUUUUUGAGCGAGUGGAAUUUUUAGGGAGAGUGGCUUCCCCAGGUUGGAGUGGAAAAAUACCAGGCUCUGGUAUUUGAAGGUCUAC
rnacentral:lncRNA from 1 species